GCAGUCGUGGCCGAGUGGUUAAGGCGAUUGACGAGAAAUCCAUUGGGGUCUUCCCACACAGGUUCGAAUCCUGUCGACUGCG
rnacentral:tRNA from 1 species